AGUCGUUUGAAAUUAUUAAAUGAAACAAUUUUGCUUUUAGCUUUAAAAAUGCUGGAUUAUCGAACAUUUUUCACAAUAUCCAUUGAGUACUUACGACUAGUAAGCAUCUAUCUAGAAUACAAACGUAGGGGCCGUCCCCGAUUGUGCUGGGUGAAACAUCUUCAAGAUCACAUGCGGGAUGUCUAUGGUGGUUAUGGAUUGUUCACUUACUUUUACUUUUGCGAAGAAAAAAAGUUUAGAAAAAUGUGUCGGAUGUCUCCCAGACAAUUUGAUCAGUUGCACGAUAUGGUUGGAGGUCGCCUACUUAAAACGAGUCUAAGAAGACCAUUAUCCUCCAGACUUCGUUUAGCUGUUACAUUAAUCAUGUGGGAUAAUUGAAGAAGUUUGCCCUCUCAUCUGAGAAAUUCUCUCACCAGUAUAUUUGAAACAGAAAACACAACAAUAAUGGAAACUAACUGCCCAAGGAUUACGCGUGAGGUGGAAUUUUCCCAACUGUAUUGGGGCUAUGGACGGCAAAGAGAUAAGGAUUCAGACACCAUCAAUUUCCGGGAGCCUAUUCUAUUGUUAUAAAAAAUUUCACAGUUUUAAGUUAUUGGCCGCGUGCGAUGCUUACUACAGAUUCUCGUGGGUGGAUAUUGAUGAUUACGGUUCUGUAAGUGACGUUUCGGCCUUCCAGAGUACAGGAUUGUAUAGGGCAAUGGAGAGAGGAGAAGCUAAUCUUCCAGCGCCUGCUCGUUUGCCACGAUCAGCAAUGGUGUUGCCACACUUUUUCGUCGUCGACGAAAUCUUCGCAGUGAAACAUUAUUCGAUUUCGCCGCACCUUAGACGACAUCCUCUUACAAGAAGGGAAAGAAUCUUCAAUUAUAGACUGUUUCGAGCGAAGAAUUGCAUCGAAGAUGCUUUCGGCAUCCUCACUGGAAGAUGGCGAAUUUUGCACAUAGCCUUGGCAUUUAAGCUAAAUAAAUCGAUAGCAAUUGUGCAGGCAUUGAUUUGACUUCACAAUUUCAUCCUUGAUGAUAAACUGCCCCGCAAAGAUGUUGAUCAACAUUAUCUUCACCCACUCCGCUAUGCACACCUCAACCUCAGAAAUGUUCCACUUCCAGCAAGGCAAGAAGAAAACUUUCCUGCAGGAAACGAGGAGAAAAUAAUUCCACCUCAUGUUAUCCAGCAACGUGAAAUUCUAACUGAUUAUUUUGUAUCGGAGGCUGGUCCAGCUACUUUGAAAUCUUGAAAUUCUUCUUCAAUUUUUUAUGAGAAAGACUUCACAAACAUCUCGGAAAGAUUUACAAAAGAUAUUACAAGAUUUCAAACAAUAUAAAAGAUCCCUCAAAGAUUUUACAAAGAUUGCUAAUCACUUAAAACAUUUCAGAAAGAUUUUAAAAGCUUUGAAACGAUUUUAGAAGAUUUCAAAUUUUUUUUUAAAUAUCCUACGAUUUGAAGGAUUUCCAAGAUUUCAUGAAGAUUGAAAAGAUUCUACAAAGGCAUGCAUAACAAAUUUCAAAGAAUCGCUGGGCACCUUCUAGGAGUAAGCAUUUGUUCAUCAAUGGAAUUUCAUAAUAAUCCCAGAAGAAAUCACCGAUUGUAAAAUUGGAUUCAAACGUCAAGCAUUUCGAUCUGAUUCAAAAAUGAUUAAAAGAAAAUGACAAAAUUUGUAUUCAAUUAGAGCUUUUUGAUUCACAAUGUCUGAAUGAGAGUUGGCAGAUUAAAGUAGUUUUUAUUUUAGAGAUCGAUUCCACAUAUUUGAUUCAUUGAUAUUUAUAAACCUUGGUGUUAGGGUCGCCUUCCUGAAAAUUAAUUUUGGCCUAAAUGAAAAUAAUCUGAAGGACCUGGGC